rnacentral:rRNA from 1 species
GACGAACGCUGGCGGCGUGCUUAACACAUGCAAGUCGAACGGUGAAGCGCCUUCCUUUUUGGUGGGUGUGGAUGAGUGGCGAACGGGUGAGUAACACGUGAGUAACCUGCCCCCUUCUUCUGGAUAACCGCAUGAAAGUGUGGCUAAUACGGGAUAUUCUGGGUCUGUCGCAUGAUGGGUCUGGGAAAGAUAUUGUUUCGGUGGGGGAUGGGCUCGCGGCCUAUCAGCUUGUUGGUGGGGUGAUGGCCUACCAAGGCGGUGACGGGUAGCCGGCCUGAGAGGGUGGACGGGCACACUGGGAAGGAGACACGGCCCAGACGGCUACGGGAGGCAGCAGUGGGGAAUAUUGCACGAUGGGCGGAAGAAUGAUGCAGCGACGCCGCGUGAGGGAUGGAGGCCUGCGGGUUGUGAACCUCUUUCGCCAGUGAAGCAGGCCUGCCUCGUUUGUGAGUGGGUUGACGGUAGCUGGAGAAGAAGCGCCGGCUAACUACGUG